CAGCAGCAUUCUCGGGGGGUUCCAGAGCUGGCCCGCAAAGGCAAGUGCUCGCCCUCCGGUUUCCACGCUCACACACCUGUGCACAUUCGGCGAGAGGGGGGGUUUGUCUCCCGACGUCCCCUCUCCCGCCUUCCACAAACGCCAGUCUUGUAAACGCAUGUCGCUUUUGAGCUCCAAGGAGCCUCUAAAGAAA
rnacentral:misc_RNA from 1 species